GAUGAACGCUGGCGGCGUGCCUAAUACAUGCAAGUCGAGCGAAUGGAUUAAGAGCUUGCUCUUAUGAAGUUAGCGGCGGACGGGUGAGUAACACGUGGGUAACCUGCCCAUAAGACUGGGAUAACUCCGGGAAACCGGGGCUAAUACCGGAUAAUAUUUUGAACUGCAUGGUUCAAAAUUGAAAGGCGGCUUCGGCUGUCACUUAUGGAUGGACCCGCGUCGCAUUAGCUAGUUGGUGAGGUAACGGCUCACCAAGGCAACGAUGCGUAGCCGACCGGGGAGGGUGAUCGGCCACACUGGGACUGAGACACGGCCCAGCCUCCUACGGGAGGUAGCAGUAGGGAAUCUUCCGCAAUGGACGAAAGUCUGACGGAGAAACGCCGCGUGAGUGAUGAAGGCUUUCGGGUCGUAAAACUCUGUUGUUAGGGAAGAACAAGUGCUAGUUGAAUAAGCUGGCACCUUGACGGUACCUAACCAGAAAGCCACGGCUAACUACGUGCCAGCCGCCGCGGUAA
rnacentral:rRNA from 1 species